UGUGAACCUUAACACUUAGAGGAAGGAGAGUCGUAACAAGGUUUCCGUAGGUGAACCUGCGGAAGGAUCAUUC
rnacentral:rRNA from 1 species